UAAUCUCACUCCGACGACUUUUUUGUUGUCUGGAGGUGGACUUGGACCUUGCCGUGUCACAACGGCUGGUCUGAAAUGCAUGAGUGCACCCUGCUGUAGCAGCGUCUUCAGUGUGAUAAGUAUCUUCACUGAUUCAAGUUCCCCUCGUGGGACACGCCGCCUGGUGGGCUCUGCGCUUCUAACCGUCCGCAUGGACAACUCUUGACA
rnacentral:misc_RNA from 1 species